UCCACCCAAACCCCAGCAGCUUGCCUCAGGAAAUGGAGGAAUCAGUCCCGGGAGCCCAGGAUUGCUUAACUCAAAAGUAGCCAAGACAGGAGACUCAUAAUGUGGGGCCAGGUUGCCUUAUAAACAUCCCUGGAGCUUGCCUACCUGGGCUACUACGAACUGAUUAAAAUGUCAUCAUAUGAAUGGUGUUUGUUAUUGCUUCUCAGCCUUUUGGUUAAGAUCAAGUGUAGUAUGAAUGGUGUUUGCUGGAUUCAGGCAGUGUUCAACCCUCACUUAUCACACAGAGUGGCCCGAACACUUCAUUUUGAUCAAUGUAUAAAAUUUAUUUUUGUGACAAGUAAAAGAACACUGCAGGUCUUUUGACAUGGAAUAAAGUGAGGUACAAAUUGCUGUGGGUAAGAGACAGUUGGGGCCAAAGGAAGAUCACUGGUUUAUGGAGACUUGGGAGAAUCUGCCUCCUAAGAAUAAAAUAAAUCAGCCAGGGGCAGUCAACAGUCCUUCCUUCAUCAAGAAAUGGCACAGAAGGGCAGCCAAGAGGUUAUCCUAUGAGCAUUGUUAUGUCACAGUAGGAAUUGGAGUCGGGGGGAGGGGACGGGGUUGGGGGGAAUUACCAUUAGCAGUUGAAGUGGUAGGAAAUUUUUACAUAGGAGAGUAUGGUGAUCAUAUUUGCAUUUUAGAAAAUAAUGGAUAGCAGUUUGUUAGGGGAACAAAGGACAGAGACAGGGAGACUAUUUAAAACAUUAAUAAAAAAUACCAGUGACAGAUGAUGAGGCACCUACCUGAUGGGAAUGGAGAAGAGGAGAUGGAUUCAGAAACUACUUAGGAGGUACAGUCAUCAAGAUCUAGAUGACUAAUUGCAUGUAGGGGGUAAAAAAGUAGGAAGAAGAGAGGAUGAUGACUCCUGCAUUUCUGGCUUGGGAAAGUGGUUAGAUUGUGGGCUGGAUGUGUGCAUGAUUAUGUGUGUGUAGCUGAAAAGGCAAUUUAGCUUUGCAACUGUUGAAGUGAAUAUGGACCAUAGACAUAGAUAUCCCUAGGUAGCUGAAUAUGUAGCCUGCAAAUCAGGAGAAAAUUCUAGGUGAAGAUGGUAAUUGCGAAUCAUCAGAGUCUAUAUGAGGCAGGCAGUCCAAGGCUGAUGCCCAAAGAAGCCAUCAAGACCCGUGCUACUUCCAGCUCCUUCUGUCCUCAUAAUCAUAGAUGAUUGCUCCACAUCCAGAGUCUCGCUCAGUUUCCAGGCUGGAGUGUAAUGGCGUGAUCUUGGCUCACUGCAACCUCUGCCUCCCAGCUUCAAGUGAUUCCCCUGCUUUAGCCUCCCAAGCAGCUGGGACUACAGGCAUGCACCAGCAUGGCCGGCUAAUUUUUUUUUGUAUUUUAGUACAGAUGGGGUUUAACCAUGUUGGCCAGGAUGAUCUUGAUCUCCUGACCUCGUGAUCUGCCCACCUCGGCCUCCCAAAGUGCUAGGAUUACAGGCGUGAGCCACCUUGCCCGGCCUUCUAUUCCUUUUUCUAAUGCAUUUGCCCCAGCUAUCUGUAUAGCCUGCAAUCUGGUAGAUGGACCACAGGGAAACCACUGCAGCAAACUAAAAGUGUCUAUCUCAGAUCCUUCCACCACCAUCAUUUCCAAAAUCACCGUCACUAUCUCCACCACCAUCACCUUUACCACCAUCACCACUAUCAUCCUCAUCCUUCCCAUCACCAUCUCCACUGCUAUCUCUCAACACCAUCAUCAUCACCACCACCACCAUCAUCACCAUGAGCACCACCUCUGUCGUCAUCAAAAAAGCACACAGUUCAGGCUGGCCUGUUGGAGGAUAACAGAUCAUGUGGAGCAGAGACGAGCUGGCCCACCUCAGGCCCUACCAGAGCAAUCAGCUUGCCAAACACGACAUACAUCAGCGAGGCCAUCCUAGACCAUCCAGCCCUAGCUGAGCCAGCCCAGACCAGAGACUCAUGAGAAACAGUAAAAUGUUCAUCAUUUUAAG
rnacentral:lncRNA from 1 species